rnacentral:rRNA from 1 species
UGCGGGUGCUAUACAUGCAGUCGAGCGGACAGAAGGGAGCUUGCUCCCGGAUGUUAGCGGCGGACGGGUGAGUAACACGUGGGUAACCUGCCUGUAAGACUGGGAUAACUCCGGGAAACCGGAGCUAAUACCGGAUAGUUCCUUGAACCGCAUGGUUCAAGGAUGAAAGACGGUUUCGGCUGUCACUUACAGAUGGACCCGCGGCGCAUUAGCUAGUUGGUGGGGUAAUGGCUCACCAAGGCGACGAUGCGUAGCCGACCUGAGAGGGUGAUCGGCCACACUGGGACUGAGACACGGCCCAGACUCCUACGGGAGGCAGCAGUAGGGAAUCUUCCGCAAUGGACGAAAGUCUGACGGAGCAACGCCGCGUGAGUGAUGAGGGUUUUCGGAUCGUAAAGCUCUGUUGUUAGGGAAAAACAAGUGCGAGAGUAAGUGCUCACACCGUCACGGUACCUAACCAGAACCCCGGGGCUAACUACGUGCCCACACCCGCGGUAAUAGUUAUGUGCCGCGCUUUCUCGAAAAUUAGGGCGUAAAGGGGGCGCAGGGGGUCCCUCAAGUCUCGAUGGGAAAGCCUCGGCUCAACCGGGGAGGGU